AUGACUAGGGGCAGAACGAAGGGACGUCCAAGAAGGAGUCAGCUGUGCAAUGAAGACACAAGCCGAACCCCUGUGGGUCACCCAGUCAGCCCCAACUAUAAGAUUUGUCAAAAAGGAACGUUUUAAGCCUGUAGGCGAUGGGCCGAGUACGUCUAUCUGCUUUCGUUUACGAAACAAUUGAUCCCCUGCCGCUCCAGCAACCACAAACCAAUGAGAGCUCUUGUUACUACUUCGUGGACUUCAGUUGGCCAAUCAGAUUCCUCGUACUUCUGGUAAAGCCAUAACACAACGUUAACACAACUGGUUAAGGGACGAGAGCAAACGAAGGAAAAGUAGCAUGGCUGAAUGGUACAGGUGUCUGUCUGUGGAGAAGUCAGAGACUGUCACUACACAACCAGGUAUAAUGGUGAAAUGCAGGUAAGCAAGGUGUGUAACAUCAACUUAACUAUAAUUGUAAGGACAAUGUAGAUUA